rnacentral:tRNA from 1 species
GCCCGCUUGGCGGAGUUGGUCUAACGCGCUCGACUUAAGAUCGAGUCUCUCCGGAGGCGUGGGUUCGAAUCCCACAGCUGGCA